ACACCUCUCUCCCCCCACGACUCCUCACAAGCCAAGCCAACAACCAACGGAACGGGCAUGAAAAGCUCUCUCCUCCUCCUCAUCCUGUAGUAGACUCGACUGUGGGCAGCCAGCCUCCCUCCUCUUAGAUUCGAUACCUUUCCUCCCCUUCCGCCCAACCCCAGCCCCAACCCCACCGCGAAAGAGAGAGAGAGAAAGAAAGGCUGCGGCCGUCGCAGUCCAAUCGAUUGCCCCACCGCCCGGCCGCGCCGCGCUUUCCCGCCCUCCCAAGCCGAAUCCGAUGGUUCCACUCGUUGACCGCCUCCGCCAUCGGAGGCCGCGCCGCGCCACCCUCGAACCCCGCGCCACCCCCAUCCACCCCCUUCUCCCCCGCAGCCGCCUAUAGAUACCGAUCGCUCCGGCCCAAUGGCGGUCGGCGGCGACGACGACAUGGAGCGGGACUUCGCCGCUAGGCUGCGCCUCGCGCCCUCCAACCCCUCCUCAGCCUCCGCCUCCGCCUCGGCCUCCCCCACGGCGGCCUCCCCUACUGCGGGCGGCGGCGGGAUCGCCUUCCGCGCGCCGCAGGAGCAGUUCACCGCCGGCGACUUCGAGCUCGGCAAGAUCUACGGCGUCGGCUCCUACUCCAAGGUGGUGAGGGCCAGGAAGAAGGACACGGGCAACGUCUACGCGCUCAAGAUCAUGGACAAGAAGUUCAUCACCAAGGAGAACAAGAUCUCCUACGUCAAGAUGGAGCGCAUCGUGCUCGACCAGCUGGAUCACCCGGGCGUCAUCAGGCUCUUCUUCACCUUCCAGGACACCUACUCCCUCUACAUGGCACUGGAGUCCUGCGAAGGCGGGGAGUUGUUCGACCAAAUCGUACGGGUUGGUAUCAACCUGCUCACAAUGUGGUUGAUUCCUGUUCUGUAUUUGCUUCUUAUGCAUGGGUUUUGCUUGCAGAAAGGCCGCCUGUCUGAGGACGAGGCGCGGUUUUAUGCCGCUGAAAUUGUUGACAUUCUGGAGUAUUUGCAUAGCGUAGGCCUAAUUCAUCGGGAUGUGAAGCCAGAAAAUUUACUCCUUACUUCUGAUGGACACAUCAAGAUUGCUGAUUUUGGUAGCGUGAAGCCUACUGUGGACACUCCAAUCAAAGUCCUCCCAAAUUCAACUAAUGAGAGGGCCUGCACAUUUGUUGGAACAGCUGCAUAUGUACCACCAGAGGUCCUGAACUCUGCCCCAGCAACUUUUGGAAAUGACUUGUGGGCAUUGGGGUGCACGUUGUUUCAAAUGCUUUCUGGCUCUUCGCCAUUUAAGGAUGCCAGUGAGUGGUUGAUUUUCCAGCGAAUUAUUGCUAGGGAUCUCAGAUUUCCUGAGUUCUUUUCGGAUGAAGCAAGAGAUCUCAUUGACAAGUUGCUGGAUGUUGAUCCAACCAAACGACCAGGUGCAGGACCUGAUGGUUAUGCUUCCUUGAAGAAGCAUCCUUUCUUCAGAGGUAUUGACUGGAAAAAUAUAAGGAAGACGCGCGCACCAAAGCCCGCUGUGGAGGCAAAUGCAAAUGAGGAUGAGGAUAAUCAGGAUUCAGAUUGGCUGUCACACAUGGGAAGUGCACAUGUCAACCGAAAUGUCCCUGUUGGGAAUAAUGGUGCUGCGUCAUCUUCUGAAGCGAGAAAAGAAAAAUGAAAACGGGGGGAAAUGGUCGACUACAUGCUCACAAUUUUUCCACGGGUGAGAGGUGAUUCAUUUCAGUGCAUAUUGCUUUAACAAUGUGGCAGGCAGGAUUUCCUGGAGCCUGGUGAAUCUGUAGUGUUGAUAUCUAAGCUGAAGAAGAUUAAUAAGCUAUCAAAUAAGAAGGUCCAGCUGAUCCUCACCAACAAACCUCAGUUGAUCUGUGUUGACCCUGCAAAAAUGGUGACCAAGGGGAAUAUUAGUUGGUCUGCUAAUCCAAGUGAACUCAAUGUACAAGUAGGCAACUCCUCGCAUUUCAGGAUCUGCACGCCAAAAAAGGUGUUUGUAUUUGAGGAUGCAAAACAGCGUGCCUGGCAAUGGAAGAAUGCAAUUGAAGAUCUCCAGAACUGCCAAAAGAUAUGAUUUUCAAUUGAAAUCAAGAUACCGACCAAAACAGUUGAUGUUAAGCACUCUGAAUACACCUUAGCCAUGUUUUUCACUUGGAGGAACACAUUGGGGUUUCUCGCUCCUGCCCUCCUCGCGUGCCUGGGAAGGAAAUCACUUGUGGCAUGUUGAUCGAUGUCCCCCGUCCGUAGACAGUUUUGUUUGUUUGUUAGUUGCUGCAGCAGAUAGCAUCAGAGUGAUUGAAAUGUUCGCCCCCCGGAACGAUUAACAAAAGAAGUCCAUGAGAUGAUCGAUUUGUAUUGUUGUAUUUGUACCAUCGAAUCACCUUAACAAUGUUGCCGUAGCUUAA